rnacentral:rRNA from 1 species
GUUGACCUCGAAUCAGGUAGGACUACCCGCU